rfam:Thelohanellus kitauei scaffold00850, whole genome shotgun sequence.
AUCGCUUCUCGGCCUAUUGGCUAAGAUCAAGUGUAGUAUCUGUUCUUAUCAGCUUAAUAUCUGGUACGCCAGUCUUGUCUGGCUCAUUUAUUAAACAAAUUUUUACGGGCAGGUCUGGUGCCUUUCCUGCUUGCAGGAACGACACCGGAUAGAUCGCUUGCGCAUUGCACUAUUGCUUAAGCGGUCGCCUAUU